CGCCCCGGGUCUUAAUGGAGAGGUGGAGAGCUGAGCCUGGGUCCGGUGUUCUUCUUUCAAAAUUUUUUUUCGAGCUAGAGAACUUGAUGGUGAGGGGGCUCCGAGCAGUGCCUGUGUUUGUUUGAUAUAGACACGGUGCUCUCCUUCAGCUGUUUAGGCCUGAGGGCUUCGAGGAUGCUACUGAAUUUUAAAGACCUUGGAGGGCAGAAUUAGCAAGAUCUAUGCUGUCUUCAAACGAUGGGAGGUCUAACUGAAGGGUCCCAGCAUGAGUACUUGAGUGAACUUCUCGUGUAUGUCAAGACAGUCUUGGAAGAAUGAAUCUGGGGUCUUCCCUCCCAUCUGCCCUGGAAUACUGUGAAAAAAAAUGCUAUUGGAAAUUGCAAAACCUAGUGAAAUUUACCAGGAUCAAAAAUUGCUUGUAGGGAGAACUCUUACGGAAUAGGAGUCAGCUUCUA